GAGCCGAAAUAUUUGCAAUUAUUGUAUAAUUUAUAUCAUCUGUUCAGCUUCUCCAUCUUUGUGCGAUGCUAUUCAACACUUUUAAGUGUUUUGUUUUCCAUCUAUUUAUCGGUAUAGUUAUACAAUCUUUUAGACUCAUAUAAUUUUUCCUGUUUGUGUAGUAUUGUCAUUUUAUUAAGUCUAUGGUUGGUAGAUUCCUAUAG
rnacentral:lncRNA from 1 species